CAGAGGUCCCAAGCGUUGUUCGGAUUUACUGGGCGUAAAGGGUGCGUAGGCGGUGGGGUAAGUUUGAGGUGAAAGCUCCGGGCUCAACCCGGAAAAUGCCUUGAAUACUAUCCGGCUAGAGGGUUGGAGGGGAGACUGGAAUUCUCGGUGUAGCAGUGAAAUGCGUAGAUCUCGAGAGGAACACCAGUGGCGAAGGCGGGUCUCUGGACAACACCUGACGCUGAGGCACGAAAGCCAGGGGAGCAAACGGG
rnacentral:rRNA from 1 species